rnacentral:misc_RNA from 1 species
GAUGAAGAACGCAGCGAAAUGCGAUAAAUAAUGCGAAUUGCAGAAUUUCCAUGAGUCAUCGAAUCUUUGAACGCACAUUGCGCCCACUGGUAUUCCGGUGGGCAUGCCUGUUCGAGCGUCAUUAUCCUCCCUCAAACCCCGGGUUUGGUGUUGGACCCAAGUUGUGUGAACAACUGGUCUCAAAGACAAUGACGGCGUCCGUGGGACCCUCGGUGCAACGAGCUUUUAGGAGCACGCAUCGAGUUGCAAGGACCUUCCGGGCCGGUCUCCUUUACCAUUUUACAAGGUUGACCUCGGAUCAGGUAGGAAUACCCGCUGAACUUAAGCAUAUCAAUAAGCGGAGGA